GCACUAGAGAGAGCGUCUUGUGGCUGCGGCCUGCCCCUCAGCCUCCUCCGCGCGGUUACCCCUGUACCCGCCGCCAUCCGUCCUGGCGCUCCGGAUGAGUCAAUGAGGGGCAGGGCCCGAGGAGUGGUCUUCCCAAGAACCCCUGGUGGCCUCCCAAGGCCGGUGCUGUGUACCUCCUCCCCGACAAAAGGGGAAACUGAGGCCCCGAGGGGAGUGGGAAGAGCCGGCUGGACGUCAGGCCCAGCCGCUGGUGCAGUGGUCCGUCCCCUCUGCCGGGGUGGGCCCCUCGGGUUUCGCGUGUCCUCGGGAAAGAGACUGGCGGGCCUCGUGGGCUGUGCGGCUAUCCUGGAGACAGAUGACAGCUCUCCCUUGGAUGGCUUUGCUGGUUCCGCACCAGCCAGCGCCCCCAUUUUUCCUGCAGCACCCUGAUCUGCACUCCCUGAGGGGCUCCCACUGUCCGCGGUGUGAGGAUGUCCCUGGUCCACUGUGUGCAGAGGCAUGGGAGUUGUCAUGUUGGGAACAUGCUAGACCUCAGUAUCCUUGAGGGAUGCUGCCUUGGGUCUGGAAACUGUUAGAGGAAACCCCAAGAGGUGCAGGCACUGAGCCUCUCAGGACAAUGACCUGGGGUCCCAGCUCCCCUGGAGGGGCCUCCUCAUGAUUGUUUGGGGGUUGAUCACAGACCAAGAGUGACGAGUGAUGUCACCCUGUGACUCAUGGCUGGACCUUCUUGCCCCUAUUGUCUCAGCACAACAUUAUUCGACUUUUCCCUCAGCGUGGGUGGGCAGAGGAAAAGCCCUGUGGCUCUGGGGACUUGGGAUCCAGAGUUGAAGACCCUUCAGCUGGCUCUGCCCUGCCAGUGCCACAGAGUGCCAUGGCCCAGGAAGACAGGUUUUCUUCCAUCUAGGCCAGGCCAUCCAGUGGCCAUCCUCCGUGUCCUCCCGCCUCCUCCUGGUGUGACUUCUGAAAACCAAGAAUUUGUUCCUGUUGACUUUUUCUGUGCUAUGGACCAUUGUCCUCUCACCCACUCAAUAAAUCUUGAAACAUGC
rnacentral:lncRNA from 1 species